AAUCGUAUGCUGCUUGUUUCAAAGACUGUUUCCACUGCAAAAAGGCACAUUAACAAAUAAUCAAUGGUACAGCUGCAAAAUAAUAUUGAAAAAGUUUGUAUAUUUCACACUAAUUCGGCAUGACUACAGAUGAAGAACUCAAUUGCUUAUGGUUUUUCUCAAAGAGUCGUGCACUGCAAUUGGAGUAACUUUAAUGCACAUGUUCUAUGGCAAUCAGGACAGCCAGUGCGCCGAUCAUGUCAGUGCUUUGGGUACCAAAUUUAUCAACUAUAAAUCACCUUGACCUAGAUCACUGAACUUCUCCUGAGUCAGCAGCACAACCCAGACGUACAUAUAUCUCUCAUAUACAUACUCAGGGGAUCAAUUUUUUUGUUUAUUUCCUUUCUGUUUUCCUCAUAACAUCGCUUUUCUUAUUGUGCUUUUGCUCUCUUUGUUUGUCUCCUCCCAGUGCACCACUAAAAUCAAUCACGGAGUCACGGCUGAAGUAGAUUGGGUCAAAUCGAGUAGCAUAGCAUGUCCAGCAGCGCAUGCGGAUCUCCAGUUGCAACGAGGUUUUUGGCACACGGGAUUUUUGGCACAUGGGAUUUCUGCAGUUGGUUGUGAGUAGUGCUACUCCAUUGUUGCUCGAUGGAAAGAUAAUAAUGAAGUUAUAUGUACUGAGAGAAUCAGGUUAUCUGUAGUUCUGUACUAAGAGAAUCAGGUUGAGCUAUGGGCGUACUUUACCUCAAGUCCUGAAGCCUUUACUUUAAUCACUGUUGUUGCGCAUGCAAGCUCAUGCUGGAAUACCUUUAGCUGCAUAUUACAUCCACAAAUAGUUCCCCUGCUGCAAAAAUUAUAAGAACAGAUCACUUCCAAGGUUCAAAACCGUUCUUUGAACUCCAUCUUAUAGAACAAUGUCUAUGACCUUAAUGUAAACAACAUGUCUUAAAAUAGUAAAUGCAUGGGCUGCAAAAAAUUUGAAGAACCGAACCCUUCCAAGGUUCAAAUAGUUUUUUGAACUGUCUAUCAUAGAUAUGAAGAUUUGGGUCCCAGAAAAAUAGGGCAGGAUUAAGAUGCAGAGUUUUCAGUGACUCAUUAUGCUGUAGUUUGUAUCCCUGUUCGAAACGAAAUAUAUGUACACUGAAAUCCUAUUUACCCGACGCGAUAAGUCAAAAUAAUAAUCAACCAAUUGUAUUUGCUGAGCACGAGAACUUAUUCUUUUAAUAUGUCAGAAAGGAGAUCAGACACAAUCAACAAUAGGUUAUUUAGAAAAUAAAUGACAUGUCAAUUGGCAUACAAAUCUUCAAAAAACGUUUGACAUGAUGAUUUAGCUGUUGCAAAUGGCAAAUGAAUUACAGCUAAGAAAGAAAACAUCAAGUAGCUAGAAAAAAUUGGAUCUGAAAGAACUACCUGACAGUAAACAGGAAAGAAGAUAGUUGAGGCGUGCAGGCACAUACAAUGGCACCGGUAGGAAAGAAACCCAUCUUCAUUGAUCAAAUUGUUCUCAUGUUGUGCAGAUACGACGAGAGAGCUAUCCGUAGAUAGUGAGGUGCACGUAUGACCUAGUUAGUCCUGACACGCCAUUGAUUCAUCCAUCGACCAAAAAGACAAGGUUCCAACCAAGCAUGCAUGAGCACAUCCCAGGAGCUCCUAGCAGAAUCCUGAAGCUGCAACACGCCCUGCGACGCCCGUAUAGUUGCCUGGCAGCGAUAACACACGCCCGCCCAGUUAGACCCCGGCCCAGCGCGCCAGGGUCAUGACCGCACGCCUCCCUCCUACCAGCCACGGUCAGGCCAGUCCAUGGGAUGGAGUAGAAGUAUAAUUGGUUGUGGAAUAACAACAGCUACUGCCGGACAAAUUAGCCUCGUCGCCGGUGGCCUAGCUCCUGCCGCUACUGCCAGAUCGGGGUGGAGGGAAAGGAGGCUUGUGCUCCAGACCAGGGAAGGGAAGAGUCGGGAGGUGGCACGCAGGCCUCGCCGGAUUGGUCGGGAGCGGCGCGCCAUAGGAGGAAACAACAGUGACUUGCGGGAGGUUGGCAUCAGCGGCGGUGGCGAGCGGUGCGGCGGCCGCCGUCAAUUUCGAUUGGGCCAAAAAAGGGAUUGGGGCGUGGGGACGGGCGAGCGGGUAGGCAGGCG
rnacentral:lncRNA from 1 species